AGCGAACGCUGGCGGCAGGCCUAACACAUGCAAGUCGAACGGUUCCUUCGGGGACAGUGGCAGACGGGUGAGUAACGCGUGGGAACGUGCCCUUCGGUUCGGAAUAACUCAGGGAAACUUGAGCUAAUACCGGAUACGUCCGAGAGGAGAAAGAUUUAUCGCCGAAGGAUCGGCCCGCGUCUGAUUAGCUAGUUGGUGGGGUAAUGGCCUACCAAGGCGACGAUCAGUAGCUGGUCUGAGAGGAUGAUCAGCCACACUGGGACUGAGACACGGCCCAGACUCCUACGGGAGGCAGCAGUGGGGAAUAUUGGACAAUGGGCGCAAGCCUGAUCCAGCCAUGCCGCGUGAGUGAUGAAGGCCCUAGGGUUGUAAAGCUCUUUUGUCCGGGACGAUAAUGACGGUACCGGAAGAAUAAGCCCCGGCUAACUUC
rnacentral:rRNA from 1 species